CCUGGUCACCAGGGACAGAAGAAGUCCCACAGAAAGAUCAUCCCAGGCAGGACCUUGUAUGUGCCUGAUGACUUGGAGGAAUCUCUCCCUCUCUCUGGACCUCAGUUUCCCUGCCUGUGAAAUGGGGAGAUGGGUGCCUGCCUGCAGCCUCAAAGAUUGAGGCUGGAGUGCAGUGGCACGAUCUCAACUCACCACAACCUCCGCCUCCCGGGUUCAAGCGAUUCUCCUGCCUCAGCCUCCCGAGUAGCUGGGAUUACAGGUGUGCGCCACCACGCCUGGCUGCUUUCUACCCGUGAGACCUUCCUUUCCUGACACUGCAUCCUCGUCUCAGGCAGCUGCUGGCCAUGACCCCUCUGGCCAUGCCUCCAGCCCAGCAGGGCCCUGGAGAGGCCCACCUUCAGCCAGCCAACAUAGAAGAAGAACUGCAGGAACGUGAAGACGGGCACAACGAGGUCCAGCUCAUGGCCAGGGUAGGCCUUGGCUGGGUUCAGAAACUGCCGCCCAACUAGACAAGUCAGGAAGAAGCUGUACACCGCCACAGUCACCACCUGGGAGGAGGAGGAGGAUGUGGUAGCAAAGGGCUAGGUGGGAACCCUGAAAUCAGGAUGCUCCAGGGGCUGGGAGUCUGAGACAGGAGACCAAGGCCUUGUUCUGACUUGCACACUUAUGUGACUUAGGGGCUCUGUUAACCCCUUUGUUUGUUUGUUUGUUUGUUUGUUUGAGACAGAGUCUUGCUGUGUCGCCCAGGCUGGAGUGCAGUGGCAUGAUCUCAGCUCACUGCAACCUCCACCUCCCGGGUUCAAGCGAUUCUCCUGCCUCAGCCUCCCAAGUAGCUGGGAUUACAGGCGUGCACCACCACACAGCUAAUUCUGUAUUUUCAGUAGAGAUGGGGUUUCACCAUGUUGGCCAGGCUGGUCUCGAACUCCUGACCUCAGGUGAUCCACCUGCCUCAGCUUCCCAAAGUGCUGGGAUUACAGGCAUGAGCCACUGCACCCGGCCAACCUCUCUUUAAUAUGGGGAUAAUCACAUUGCCUCUACUGGACUGGGCCAGGCAGGAGCCUGGACUCUUAGAACUUGGCACUUCAAAGUCCAGACCCAACUUCAAAGUGUGGACCCAACUCCCAGGGGAGCCACUUAGCCUCUAGGUGAGCCCUUCCCACCCCAGCUGCUUCCUUGGUCCUUCUAGCCUCAGUUUCCCAAAAGGGCAGCCUCACCAGCCUAGUCCUCACCUGUGUAUACACCAGUGGGAUACUAAUCCAGUCGUAGGCAUACAGGUGUCCACACUGAGUACGCAAGGUGUUCAUCUCCUGGGGGGCAGAAGAGGGGGAUGGGGUUCUGAACACCACCUGCCCCCACCCUGGGCUCGCCCCCACCUCUUCUCCAGGUACCAGGGCCUGGUACCUAUGGUCCAUUCCUGGCUGUGUGGCCAUGGGAAGCUCACUAAACCUCUUUGUGUCUCAGCUUCCUCAUCUAUCAAAAGGGAACCAGGACCUCACAGACUUGGAGAAGAGGGAGGGGCCUCUGAGAAGGGACCACCUCGGGCUGUGGAUUGCUGUUGGAAAAGAUUCUGCAACCCCACCUCAGGCUCUCGGAAGACCCUCAGGGGCCCAAGGCUUCUCUUUGUAGGAAACCUUGUUUCCUGUGGACCACAGCCCUUCCCACUCUGCGGCAGCCCUGUCUGUACAGUGGGCUCACGUUCAGCAGGCUCUGGAGCAGGAUAGGGUCCCGGAUUCGACCUCCAAGCCACGCCUUCAUUGACAGGUUGGCAAACCACACCCAGGGCACCCAGAACAUGUUGUGUGGUAGGCUCAGUUUCUCCAACUGCUUGUGUUCUGCCGGAGUCAUAAAGCCUGCAGAGUGGAGUGAAGAAGGCGGUGGGUGGGAGAACCUGCAGAAGGGAUGGCCGGCACCUGCUGACCUAUAGGAACCUCAGCACUCCUUUGCCAUCCUCUUUCUUUCAACAACAAAAAAAUUUCUGAGCACCUACUAGGUGCUGUUCUGGGCUGAGCAUGUGGGCAGGGUAUUUAUUUAUUUCCAGAGAAAGGGUCUGGCUCUGUCACCGAGGUUGGAGUGCAGCGGUGCGAUCUUAGCGCACUGCAGCCUGGAACUGCUGGGCUCAAGUGAUCCUCCUGCCUCAGCCUCCCGAUACUCAGCCUCAGACUGCAGGCACACGCCACCAUGCCCUGCUAAUUUUUAAUGUUUUUGUAGAGAUGGGGGUCUCGCUAUGUUGCUCAGGGGCGUCUCAAACAGCUGGGCUCAAGCGAUCUUCCCACCUUUGCCUCCUAAAGCACUGGGAUUACAGGCGACAGCCACCACGCCUAGCCUGGGUCUGUCUUAUUAACCAGGACCAGGUCAGGCCAGGCUGAGGGGGUGUCAGAGACCAAUGUCCCAUACCUCCAGAGUGGAAACCGGAGAUCAAGAGGGGCAAGGGCAGAGGGAAGUAGACCCUAGUACCUCACCAGUUCCCAAGCCGUCACCCUUCUUUCCAUUAUCCCUCAAGGGUCCUUAGCCCUGCCUCAGACUCCUACUCUCGGAGGGUGGGCUCCUGGCCUCGCCCCACCUUCAGACACCCGACUCUGUCCCGCCCAAUUGGACCCCCAAAUCUUGACUACACCCCACUCCUGGCUCCACCCAAUCCCCCGAGUCCGGGGGACUUUGGCUCCACCCAUCUUCCAUUCCUGCCGCGCCCAUCUCGGCCCCUGGCUCUGCCCGGUGCCUCCCCGUUGCUCCCGGUCCGCCCACCUGCUUGCACCAGGUGCUGGGCGCUGGGGAAGCGCUUGUAGACUGCGGUGCUGACGCUGCGCAGGAUGAGCACGUUGCCCAGGUUGGCGUAGCGGAUGAGCGUGCGCCGCAGCAGCCGGCCUUGCUCGUCCUUGCCUUCGACGAAGCCCGACACCAGGCUCAUGAGGCGGUCGGGCCACGGCAGGUUCUCGUACUGGUUCCACCAGCGGGUCACGACCAGCGUCACGUAGAAGCCUGGGCAGGAGGGGCGGGGGGCGAGGGGCGAGGGGCCAGGCUGCGGCCAGAGCCCAGGGCCCAGCGCCCGGCGAUGCCUCGGCUCCUCCAGCUUUCUGCUGCGAGCGGGCCUAGCCCCCAGCCCUCCUGGAAGGCGCUCGGGAGCGAGAGGCAGGCAGAGCCUCGCAUGGAGGCGCGAGAGCCCCAAGGGUUCUGUCACCCGGGGGUCCCCCUGCUGGUCCCAGAAAUCCGCCAGACCCCCUCCCCUCCCGCGCAGGGGCUCCAGGGACCAUGAUGUCAGCGCUUCCCUCAGAAAAUGGGGUUUUCAUUGCUAACGGCAGGACGUCUUACCUAACGUCUAACUUCAGUUUCACUGGCUGCAGUCCGCACCUUUCCCUACAGAGAGGCGCCGACCUGCCGCUGGCGUUCCCCCGCCCCCUCCCCAGCCCCUUGCCGCAGCUCCUCGUGAUCCUCCCCUGGCCUGUCUGGAGCCUGGGCGGCCACAGGGACCCGGAACAGCCAGAAGGGGGAACUCACCCAGCACGAAGGAAAUGGGGAUGAGCUGGAUGUAGCUGUCGCAAUACAGAGUCAGUUUCUCAAACAUCAGCUGUUGUUCUUCCGUGAGGGCCAGCCUGGGGGUGGGGGUGGGGGUGGAAUUGUGUGGACGCAGCGAGGAGAUGGCUGAGACUGUCCCCAGGUCUAGCCCGGCCCUGGGUAGGAGUGGGACUGCCUCGAUGCUAUCCCACAUUUUCCCCAGCCCAGGGCCCCUCCUGAGGCCUGAGCCAGGUCCAUGAUGCUCCUUGUACAGCCCCAAACCCGGACAGGAGGAGGCCCCCUCCAGUGGUUUCUUGUGGGGAGAAUCCUCACACUGGCCACUGGGAGAUGUGUAGGAAGGAAGGUCCUGCUGCAGAGGCCAGUUUCAGACACCCUGAUCCUUUGAAUGCAGCCAAGGGUCAGUUGUUUAAAAGCAGGUCGAAACAGAGUGUUUGGGACGGGCACGGUGGUUCACGCCUGUAAUCCCAGAGCUCUGGGAGGCUAAGGCAGGACCAAGAGUUCAAGACCAGCCUGGGCAACAUAGCAAGACCCUAUCUCUACAAAAAAUUAGUUGGGUGCCGUUGCCGUAUGCCUGCAGUCGUAGCCACUGGAGGCUGAGAUAGGAGGAUCACUUCAGCCCAGGAGUUGGAGGCUGCAAUGGGCUGUGAUUGCCAUUGCACUUCAGCCUGGGUGACAGAGCGAGACACUGUCUCUAAAAAGAAAAAAAGAAACAGAGUGUUUGGCUUUAAUGAGAGGGGUGAAUAGGCAGAGGAUUUUGUUAGAGCAGUGAAACUACUCUGCCUGAUGCUGUGAUGGUGGAGACAUCAUUACACAUUUAUCCAAACCCAUGGAAUGUACAGCCCAAGAGUGAACCCUGCUGUACGCUAUGAACUUUGGGUGAUAGUGAUGUGUCACUGUGGGUUCAGGGAUUGUAAUAAAUCUACCACUGUAGUGUGGGGGUGUUGAUAGUGGGGAGGCUGGGGGCAGGGGGAGGAGCAAAGAGACACAUGAGAACUCUACCUUCUGCUCAAUUUUGCUGUGAACCUAAAACUACUCUAAAAAAUGAAGUCUGACUCUUUUUCAGCAUGCAUUAGUGCCCAAGUAAAAACCAAAGACCAAUGUGCUUUGUAUUUGGUAUUAGGAGGAACUUAAGAAUUUUAUGUAUUUGAUGUUUUAUAAUCCAUUGUAGUCAUUAGUGCUUUUUCAAUUUAAAAUGCUAUCAUAUAUUCGGUGAUUAUAUCUGUCCUUUAUUUUAUUGUUUAGAUAAAUGUUUUUGGUUUAUUGGU